rnacentral:rRNA from 1 species
UACGUAGGGGGCAAGCGUUGUCCGGAUUUAUUGGGCGUAAAGAGCGUGUAGGCGGCUAGGUAGGUCCGUUGUGAAAACUCGAGGCUCAACCUCGAGCUGUCGAUGGAAACCAUCUGGCUAGAGUCCGGAAGAGGAGAGUGGAAUUCCUGGUGUAGCGGUGAAAUGCGCAGAUAUCAGGAAGAACACCCGUGGCGAAGGCGGCUCUCUGGUACGUGACUGACGCUGAGACGCGAAAGCGUGGGGAGCAAACGGG